rnacentral:rRNA from 1 species
GACGAACGCUGGCGGCGUGCCUAAUACAUGCAAGUUGAGCGAUGAAGAUUGGUGCUUGCACCAAUUUGAAGAGCAGCGAACGGGUGAGUAACGCGUGGGGAAUCUGCCUUUGAGCGGGGGACAACAUUUGGAAACGAAUGCUAAUACCGCAUAACAACUUUAAACAUAAGUUUUAAGUUUGAAAGAUGCAAUUGCAUCACUCAAAGAUGAUCCCGCGUUGUAUUAGCUAGUUGGUGAGGUAAAGGCCCACCAAGGCGAUGAUACAUAGCCGACCUGAGAGGGUGAACCGCCACAUUGGGACUGAGACACGGCCCAAACUCCUACGGGAGGCAGCAGUAGGGGAUCUUCGGCAAUGGACGAAAGUCUGAACGAGCAACGCCGCGUGAGUGAAGAAGGUUUUCGGAUCGUAAAACUCUGUUGGUAGAGAAGAACGUUGGUGAGAGUGGAAAGCUCAUCAAGUGACGGUAACUACCCAGAAAGGGACGGCUAACUACGUG